AGAGUUUGAUCAUGGCUCAGGAUGAACGCUAGCGGUGCGCCUAACACAUGCAAGUCGAGCGCCCUGCACCGGGCUUUUAAUUUUUUUGAAUUGAAGGUCUGGUGCAGGGAGCGGCGAACGGGUGCGUAACACGUUGGUACCCACCUCAAACUCAGGGAUAACCUCGCGAAAGCGAGGCUAAUACCGGAUAGUCCCGCAAGGGUAAAGAUUUAUCGGUUUGAGAGGGGCCUGCGGAGUAUCAGUUAGUUGGUAGGGUAACGGCCUACCAAGACUACGACGCUUAGCUGAUCUGAGAGGAUGAUCAGCCACAAUGGAACUGAGACACGGUCCACACUCCUACGGGAGGCAGCAGUGAGGAAUCUUCCGCAAUGGGCGAAAGCCUGACGGAGCGACACCGCGUGGAGGACGAAGGCCUUUUGGUUGUAAACUCCUUUUUUGAGGGAAUAAAUGAUGAAGGUACCUCAAGAAUAAGCACCGGCUAACUACGUGCCAGCAGCUGCGGUAAUACGUAGGGUGCAAGCGUUAUCCGGAAUUAUUGGGCGUAAAGCGUUCGUAGGUGGUUUGGCAAGUUUGUGGUUAAAUCUGACCGCUCAACGGUCAACUCGUCAUAAAUACUACCAAACUAGAGAAUGAUAGAGGCAACUGGAAUUCUACAUGUAGGGGUAAAAUCCGUUGAUAUGUAGAGGAACACCAAAAGCGAAGGC
rnacentral:rRNA from 1 species